GAUGAACGCUGGCGGCGUGCCUAAUACAUGCAAGUCGAGCGAACGGACGAGAAGCUUGCUUUUCUGAUGUUAGCGGCGGACGGGUGAGUAACACGUGGAUAACCUACCUAUAAGACUGGGAUAACUUCGGGAAACCGGAGCUAAUACCGGAUAAUAUUUUGAACCGCAUGGUUCAAAAGUGAAAGACGGUCUUGCUGUCACUUAUAGAUGGAUCCGCGCUGCAUUAGCUAGUUGGUAAGGUAACGGCUUACCAAGGCAACGAUGCAUAGCCGACCUGAGAGGGUGAUCGGCCACACUGGAACUGAGACACGGUCCAGACUCCUACGGGAGGCAGCAGUAGGGAAUCUUCCGCAAUGGGCGAAAGCCUGACGGAGCAACGCCGCGUGAGUGAUGAAGGUCUUCGGAUCGUAAAACUCUGUUAUUAGGGAAGAACAUAUGUGUAAGUAACUGUGCACAUCUUGACGGUCCCUAAUCAGAAAGCCACGGCUAACUACGUG
rnacentral:rRNA from 1 species